UCCCUGGUGGCUCAGAGGUUAAAGCGUCUGCCUGCAAUACAGGAGACUCGGGUUCGAUCCCUGGGUUGGGAA
rnacentral:tRNA from 1 species